UACGGCGUGCUGGGAGUGGAGCUCUUUGGCAAGUUAGAGUGUUCUCCUGAUUAUCCGUGUCUGGGGUUGCACCGGAACAGCAACUUUCAUAACUUCCCCAUGGCUAUGCUCACACUCUACAAAGUGUGCACGGGAGACAACUGGAGUGGGAUUUUGAAAGACACAAUGAGGAAAUGCCGGUCUGAUGACAUCAAUUGUCCGAGCUUUCUCGUCUGGGUCUCUCCCCUUUACUUUUCAAGUUUUCUCAUUUUGGCUCAGUUUUUGCUGACAAAUCUGAUUGUAGCAUUGACAA